GUUUAUCCUGUUGCGACUUAUCGUCCGCCUAUAAUAACUGAAGUCAUUCUGAAUUGCUGGGUUUCUCAUCUUAAGUUCAUCAAAACGAAGAGUAAAAUGUAAGAUUUCUGCAAACUCUUUAGCCAGAGCCUGUUCCCGUUCCAGGUGUUGAGUUGGAGUAUAGGGUGGGCAUGUCAAAGAUUCCAGUAAGCUCUGCAGGGCCUUUUCUAAUCUCAGUGAAAACUCAUAAAAGCGCUUCAGCCUCACGACCAGAGGACACACUGAAUUCCAUGCUUUUUCUUGCAACUGGAUAUCAUUGGGGUUUUGUAUUGCAUCUCUAAUUUCUUGUCCAGCUCCUUUGUAAGCCUGAAGAUCUGCAAGCAUACUUUCUGAGUCCUGUAAAACUGCACUGAUCUGAUUCCAUACUUCUCUUUCUCCAUCUGUGGGCUGGGCAUCUGGAAAUAAAGUAGUUCCAAUUCACAUUCGAAAAUCCAAAGUGUUGAUGCAAAACAUUCAACGUCUGUCUUGUUGAAGAUGUUCCAGAGCCUUCCUGAUACUUAGAGAGAGGUGGCAAUCUGAGCAGCCCGUCGCCUGUGCCCGCCGCGGUGACCCUCGUCCAUCCCCCGCGCCUCAGAGAC
rnacentral:lncRNA from 1 species